AAGCUUGGUUCCGAUAGGCCCGCCGCGGUAGUAACAAUUUAGAAGCCCAAGCUUAGCAACAGCACGUGGUGGCCCGGCCCACGAGCUCGCUGAAUGGCGGCUGGCGUGCAUGUUAAGUAGGCACCACGAGCCGAUUGGUCCAGAGAGGUCUAUGUAAAAUAGGGACCACGGACCAAUGGCCGGGGGCGCGCGGCCAAUGAGGGCGCACCGGCCGGACGCGUUGCUGAGAGGAAGCGGAGCGUGGUGGGGCAACCGCGGUGGGGCUGCCCGCCGUCGUGCCACGCGCAAGGGCCCCGCUAGAGCACGGGGGUGUGCCUCAUGCGCCCGGCGGUCCGCUGGGUCUGCGCACUGUGCGUAGGAACCUGUUGCCUCCGGCCGGCUGCAACACUAGCUCCGCGGGAGCGCUUGACCUCGCGGUCUCGUCGGAGCCUGGCAUGGGGCUGCAAAGCUACACCCCUGCCCGCGGAACGGAGGGACCCCAAAAAGGCCGGGUCUGGAGGAGGGCGUUGACGGUCUGAGACUAAGAGCCAGGUCUCCUUGAGGAUCUCAACGGGCAAACAGGCCCAGGAAGGGAUUGGCCCAGUGGACCGCAGGGCCCAAGGAGGGGCCCAAGGCCUAAAGAGGGGGUCAAUGAUCUGCCGCCACAAAGAGGGGGUCAAUGAUCUGCCGCCACACUCGAUGAGGAAACUGAGAACCCUGAGGUUCAGGGACUUCCAGGGUCUAGCGGCAAUCCCAGCAGAAUGGAGAUCAGUGUCCCCACACACAUGACCCAGCGCUGGUGACACGGGAGCUUGGAGACCUAGCCACCUCCUGGGCCGAUAAGAGUUGCUGGAGGUAGGAGCCACGGCGUAGCAACACCCAGUGGGGAACUCCGAUACUAACAUCAGCCGUCCCUGAAGGGACACUGAAACGACACUCUGACGUUAACCCCGGCCCCUCCUGCUCCUGCUCCACAGUCACCUAGGGCCGGGUGCAGGAGCUGUGCAGGGGAAGGCAGGGUGCUCAGUUUGGGGGAGGAGCAGGUGCACUCUGGGCUCGGCGGUAGAGGCCUAACCCAGGCUCACCACCUGGGGGCCAGAAGUUCGCAAGGUCACUCCAUCCCUUCUGUGAGGCGUGGGUUGCUGGCCCCUGCCAGCCGGAGAGGAGAGGGGGUGGUCCCCACCUCGCCUGAAUCUACAUUUAGGCCUUUUCGGGGACUUCUCCCUCAGCCAUUUCGCGACAGAGCACUGCCGGAUCCCCCGAGGGAACACAAAACCCUUAGAAAACGUCUAGAAGAGGACUUCCUCGCCCCUCGCGCGCUUCCAGGGCCCUGUUCCCUUUCUCUGCACCCAGGAUGGCUCCACCACCACACACGAUGUGCGGCUCUCAGCACAGCAUGGAAGCACCCUGUCCGGGGGUGGGAAGGUCUGCGGGGCCCCCUCUCAUCCGGGGCCUCCUCACACUUUCAGGACGACCUAGCCCAAACCCAUCUGCUCCCUUACCUCGGCGCUGGCGUGGACUCCCUGCUGACACCCAAGUCCCUGCGCCAGCAUUCCGGCUGCAAGUGAGGGGCUGCCCUGCCCACCUGGGGGCCCACGGCCUCGCUCUGGGGGCGGCAGGUUUGGACAGGUAGCUCCCUGCAGGCCGGUUCUGGGUCUGAGGGGCCCAGGGACAGACAGCCCAGCCUACGGUCACCAGGUGCUGGGAGGCCAUGUCUAGCCCAGCAGUGCAACAGCCUCCCAGAAGCCUUGAGUCUCCUGCCCUGAGAUGCCCAGUGUACACAGGAUCAGGGCAGAGUCCUGAGGGGCUCUGUCACUGGUGCUUCCCCCACAGCCGCCCUGGAUUCCAGUCUGACCGCAGGACCUGUAAAACAGUUGAUGGUGCCUGCCUCUCGAGUUGGUUGUGGGGUGUGAUGAAGGUUGCACAAAAGCCUGGGCCGCAGUGGGCUGCACGUAGGACCACCCAGGAAGUGGUGGUGAUGAGGAAAUAUACAGAAAGUUCUCAAAUCCCUCCCCUCCUCAGGGUUUGGUAGGAAGCCAGGAAAGCUAAGAAAGUCAAAGAAACAACGUUUCUGUAAUGGCUUCCAGAAUAUAAAGGAAUCGCAAGGUGCUUGAGUGCUUGAGAUUGAAACAAUGUAGCAAUGUAUUCCCCUCACAGGAGGACUCAGUGAUAUGAAACAGUUUGUUAAUCAUAGUCAUGGAAGUCCAUUAGUUUAUAAUACAGUAUCUGGGUAACCUUUACAGAAGUAGAUUAAAAUAUAACUAGCAUCCUGAGUACACCUAUAGUGACCUAAUAGCUCCCACUGCAACAGUUUCUGGGUGCUGACUCCCCGCUUAGCUUUGUAGUAAAUGUAUAAAAGGCGUGGCCCUGCUGCACUCCGGCUCAGACCUUUGGAGUGCACUCUCCUCUGAGCUCGCGGGCGUAAAAUAAAGCUCCGCCUUCCAAAACCUCCGAGUGGCGUUUGGUUCUUCCGUCAGUGAUCCAGUCCAGGUUUUCCAGAAACCCAACCACGCUGGCCCAUUGUUCCCACGGGUUUGGGACACCAGCGGCCGGCGGGGCAGGGAUAGACCGGGCACCCGCCAGGGAGAAGGCGCGCCCCGCCUGAUCUCCCAGCCGUCUCCCGCCUGGCCGCCUCGGCCCGGCUCUGCUCCGCUGCUCCCGCCGGACUCGAGGAGGUCUGGCAGGUGAGGACCUGGUUCUGACCUCGGAUCACGGAAUCUGCAUUCUGAAGGAAGAAGGCUCCAAGUCCAGUACAAUGCCCCUUGGGGUGGCAGGUUGGUUGUGGGAGCGGGCAUAACCAGGCUGUCAAGGAGAGCGUGGCCCAGCAGCCACCCACAUGGUGCGGAACGGCUCAAGUCCACGGAGCCAGUGAGAACAAGGAGAAGGGGCCAGGGAAUAAUAGAGCAAUAACCCACCCCCACUGGGGCUCCAUUUCGGUCUCUUCCUGCUCAAGGAACAGCUAACAGAAACACCAGUAUCUCCUGAAAACGCAGCCCGACACCUAGACUUCAGCCUGGAGACCCUAAGCAGAGAACCCAGCCAUGCCAUGCUGGACGUCUGACUUGUGGAAGCUGUGAGACAGUAAAUAAGCGCUGUUUGAAGUCACUAAGUGUGGGGUAAAUUGUUAUGCAGCAAUAGCUGACUCAGGCGACUGGGAGGAUAUUGUAACCGAGUGACCAGGCAGAGGCCAGGAUCCCGAGUCUCAGGUGAAAGCAAAACAAAGCUGCCUUGGAGCAGAGCAGACUGACAUGGCGGUGAUGCCACACUGAAGGUCCCCCCUCGGGAGGCUCAUGGUGUCCUGGCAUACAGGCCCUUUCCCGAGGGCUCAUGGGCAUCUGUGUAGGAUGCCACACAGCCCAGUCCUGCAGAGCAGCAGAAGGAAGUGUGGCCACCACUUGGCACCUGUGGCUGAUGCUUUGUCAGUGUGAGGCCCCAGGAAGAGCCUGUCCAGGUGGAUGGGGCAGUGGGGUGCCCAGCCUUCCAGUCCCAGCUCUACUGCUGACCAGCUUUGAGAACUUGUGCAAACUGCUCUCCAUCCUGGGACCUCUACAGUUUCUUCUAUAAAAUGGGAAUGAUGAUAUCCACCUUGGGAGGACUGGAGAGAAUGUAUUAGAGCAGGACUCUGAAAAAGUUCCGGGCCUCUGAUAAAGUUCUGUGGGCAGCAGUACUGUUGCACUGGCCCUACAGGCUGCAGAGUCAGAGGAACAGCAGUGAGGUGACCGCCAAAAUAAUAAAACAGUGUUUGAACAAGGCGCUGUGGCGCACACAGACCGGUGCUGUGAGGCCCGAGACGGCCUGCCCUCUGCCCCACCCCACUGUUCACCCUGCCUGCUCCCCUUCCGCGAGGUUCAGGGGCCCUCCAAGAGUGUCCAGGGAGUCACUGAAGGAAGCGAAGACAUUUUGGUUCCAGGUACUAAAAGUAAACAAGACGCUGACCAUCAGCUGUUUCCCAUUUUCUCUAAUUAGGCAGCAUUUCUGCUGACGCUGGGAGAUGAGCCCAGUUAGGAACAAGCAUCCUUUGUCUUCAACACUCUGCCCUGCCCACUUCUGUGCAGCCUGCAGACCUCUGCCCCACCCAGCCCGCCAGGUCUGCCGCUGGGGGAAGGCAGGAACCACUUCCGAGUCAUCAGAAUCUGGACGCCUGUGCUGUACCAACAGUCACUUCCUUGAGGGCUUCCUAGGGGAGGCAGCACAGCCUGAUGAGAUGUGGUCCCACCUGUCAUGAGUCCAUAAAGACCCUGGCUUUUGACACAUGGGGCCCACAGUGCCUAGGACACCCCAGCCCUGAGCAGUCCGCCCAGGGCCCGCUGCCUGCAGACUUCUGAUCCAGUUCUGCUGCCAUGGCCUCAGGAGCCAGGCCCUGGCUGCUCCCUGCGCCCCAUCCUCAUGCAGCUGCUCGUCAACUCCACACACAUUCUCCCAUGCCCUCCCUGUCCCUGGGUGGGCACUUGGGGCAGGUCUAGCCUCAGGGCCCACUUCUUCCCGAGAACACCCAUCACAGUAUCUGAGAAGUGCUUGCCUGCCUCCUGCUCCAGCUGCGGUCCCUGGGCAAGGGGCCUCCACUUUCUGGCCCCUGCCAGAGUCACCAGAAGGGUCUGGCUCAGAUGAAGUCAGGUGAGCACCUAGGGGAUGGGCACACGAGGCCCUGAUGGGGACCAGCAGUGCCCACCCUCGGCUCCCAGGCUGCUGGUGGGGAGAACUGAGGGGACCCUUACAUGCCUGCUGCUCUAGGGGGAGGCCCUGCCGUGGGGAGGGGGUCCCAGGGCUGGGUGCCCAGGGAAGUCAUUGUAGGCCAAAGGCCUGUGGGCAUCACCACCCCUGCUCUCCGGGCAGGAAACUGCAACCUCCCAAAGCCUCAGGUUACUUGUCUGUAAAGUGGAGAAACGUCACCACCCACACAGGAUCCCCGGGGGAGGAACGCACCUAGGCACACACAGCAGAGGCAGGGUGUGCAGCUCUGUAUAUGUGGCCCUGAGCACAGCCUCCCCAAAGCCUAGGGAGGCUGACUGCUGAUGGGUGUCGGGGGAGUGGCUGAGAGGCUGAGGCCACCAGGCCAGUCCUCAGGGCCACAGGCUCCCGCCAAUGCCGCUGUCAGAGGUCAGCCCUCCGGAGGGCUGUGCUCACAGGAGGAAGGUCACCAGGGCCAGUCCCACUGGAGUCCAAAGAGAGCCUCACAGCUCCCAGGUCCAUCCUCCUGGAGUAACCCCAAACCUGCCAGUCCUCCAGGAAUUGGGUGCAUGUCCUCCAGGGCCUGAAGCAAUGGCGCCAGGUGAUCAGUGGACUAUUGGCCCAACAGGCAGCCUCCCAUGCUGCCGUGGUGACCACAGCCUCUACGGAGGGUCCUGGGUGUCCACCAGGCCCUGGAACGCCUGCCCUUGAUCCUCUAUGAGGCCACAGGGAGGUGUCCCCAAAGCUGGACACCAGGGCAGGUGCAGCAGAGCCAGUGUACUCCAAGUCACUGCUGGUGCCCACAGCGACCCACAGGCCUUGGUGUCCCUGAGGCCCGGCUGCCCUGGCCCUGCAUGCUGCCCCGGCCGCUCUGCCUCCCGAGGGGCAGGCACAGACCCCUCCACCCUCCUCUCAGCCACGGAGCCACAGGGAGUAGUGGGACCGUGGUCUGCCUCCACUGGGGACACGGGCACACAGUCUGGCUCUGGAGAAGUCCCAUAGAUGGUGAUGGGAACCUUUACAUUAUUACUUCUUUUUUUUAAAUUAAAGUAUCAUUGAAAAACAAUCUUAUAAAGGUUUCA